GACGAACGCUGGCGGCGUGCCUAACACAUGCAAGUCGAGCGAGGAGAGUUCCUUUGGGAACAAACCUAGCGGCGGACGGGUGAGUAACACGUGGGCAACCUGCCUUGUAGAGGGAAUAACCUUCCGAAAGGAAGAUUAAUACCGCAUAAUAUUACAGUUUCGCAUGAAACAGUAAUUAAAGGAGCAAUCCGCUACAAGAUGGGCCCGCGGCGCAUUAGCUAGUUGGUGAGGUAACGGCUCACCAAGGCGACGAUGCGUAGCCGACCUGAGAGGGUGAUCGGCCACAUUGGGACUGAGACACGGCCCAGACUCCUACGGGAGGCAGCAGUGGGGAAUAUUGCACAAUGGGGGAAACCCUGAUGCAGCAACGCCGCGUGAGUGAUGAAGGUUUUCGGAUCGUAAAGCUCUGUCUUCGGGGACGAUAAUGACGGUACCCGAGGAGGAAGCCACGGCUAACUACGUG
rnacentral:rRNA from 1 species